GUCUUCGGGGCAGGGUGAGAUUCCCGAUCGGCGGUAAAGUCCGCGAGCGCAAGGCGCAGGAUUUGGUGAGAUUCCAAAACCGACAGUAUAGUCUGGAUGAAAGAAGAUG
rnacentral:ncRNA from 1 species